rnacentral:rRNA from 1 species
CCUACGGGAGGCAGCAGUGAGGAAUAUUGGGCAAUGGACGCAAGUCUGAACCAGCCAUGCCGCGUGCAGGAAGACGGCUCUAUGAGUUGUAAACUGCUUUUGUACGGGGGUAAACGCAGAUACGCGUAUCUGUCUGAAAGUAUCGUACGAAUAAGGAUCGGCUAACUCCGUGCCAGCAGCCGCGGUAAUACGGAGGAUUCAAGCGUUAUCCGGAUUUAUUGGGUGUAAAGGGUGCGUAGGCGGUCGGAUAAGUUAGAUGUGAAAUCCCGAGGCUCAACUUCGGAAUUGCCUCUGAUACUGUUCGGCUAGAGAGUAGGAGCGGUAGACGGAAUGUAUGGUGUAGCGGUGAAAUGCUUAGAUAUUAGGCAGAACACCGAUGGCGAAGGCAGCUUAC